AUACGUAGGUGGCAAGCGUUGUCCGGAAUUAUUGGGCGUAAAGCGCGCGCAGGUGGUCCCUUAAGUCUGAUGUGAAAGCCCCCGGCUCAACCGGGGAGGGUCAUUGGAAACUGGGGAACUUGAGUGCAGAAGAGGAUAGUGGAAUUCCAAGUGUAGCGGUGAAAUGCGUAGAGAUUUGGAGGAACACCAGUGGCGAAGGCGACUGACUGGGCUGUAACUGACGCUGAGGCGCGAAAGCGUGGGGAGGAAACAGGAUUAGAUACCCUGGUAGUCCACGCUGUAAACGAUGAGUGCUAAGUGUUGGGGGGUUUCCGCCCCUCAGUGCUGCAGCUAACGCAUUAAGCACUCCGCCUGGGGAGUACGGUCGCAAGACUGAAACUCAAAGGAAUUGACGGGG
rnacentral:rRNA from 1 species